ensembl:snoRNA SNORA62 Small nucleolar RNA SNORA62/SNORA6 family
ACUGCACAUUGUUAGAGUUUGAAGUUGAGGCCACUGGUUGGCUGAUGAACUCACAAGUGUAGGUAGUGUGCUACAUGAGGGGCAGGUUUUUCAUUAACAUCACAAGGGAUGAGUAGAGUUUGACAGUAAUACUUGCUACAAGC